rnacentral:rRNA from 1 species
UGAGUUUGAUCCUGGCUCAGGACGAACGCUGGCGGCGUGCUUAACACAUGCAAGUCGAGCGGUAUGGCCCUUUCGGGGGUACACGAGCGGCGAACGGGUGAGUAACACGUGGGCGACCUGCCCUCAGCUCUGGGAUAAGCCUGGGAAACUGGGUCUAAUACCGGAUAUGACCACAUGUCGCAUGGUGUGUGGUGGAAAGUUUUUUCGGCUGGGGAUGGGCCCGCGGCCUAUCAGCUUGUUGGUGGGGUGAUGGCCUACCAAGGCGACGACGGGUAGCCGGCCUGAGAGGGCGACCGGCCACACUGGGACUGAGAUACGGCCCAGACUCCUACGGGAGGCAGCAGUGGGGAAUAUUGCGCAAUGGGCGAAACCCUGACGCAGCAACGCCGCGUGGAGGAUG